rnacentral:tRNA from 1 species
GGAACGUUAGCUCAAUUGGUUAGAGCAACAGCCUUAUACGCUGUGGGUUAUAGGUCGUGGGUCCUAUACGUUCUAC